rnacentral:lncRNA from 1 species
AUGUUAUUUUUUAUAAAACCAUCUUCCUUUUCUUCAUAUACAUGUGCCACUAAAUCCAACAUAUUAACCUUGGUUGAGGCUGAUAAGUUGAAUUUAGUGGCAUGUUUGUAUGAAGAAAAGGAAGACAGUUUGAUAAAAAGAAGAUUUGAAAACAAGUGCCAUAAUUCUAUAAAGCCCUUUCAUCAUCUCCACAAUUUUUCCAUGUACAUCUUCAUCCUCCUUUAAUUUAACCUGCCUUUCCACAAGCAUAAACAUUUAAAAACUUUAUAUUUGGCUCAAAAUUUCAUUGUCAGUGUGGUAACAAUAUUGCAUUCUUUCUCUCUUCCUCACCCCUCCUCUCUACUUGUACAUAUCUCAGCAAUAGUGUGGAGUUUAAUAGGAGUGUGGAUUUGGCAUUGAAUGACACUAAAAAUAUUAGCUCUGUCAUUAAUUAUCUUAGUAUAUAUGAACAAGGAAAUGUUACUAGCAAUUAUAAUAUUGACCUUUUUGUCUCCAAUUACUUAGAUGGCUCUACAAAAACAAUUCCAUGGUAAGUAGGCUACUUGCAUGUAUUAAGCCUCAGACUACCUCAUUCAUUUUUUCACUUUUUAAUAUGUGUAUGCGUAUCCUAAAGCAAGAAAACUAUGUAUUUUAAAAUUUGGAUUCAUUUUAUCUCUAAAUAUACUCCUCAAUUUUAGGUUAUUGCAUGACACUGUUUUUGCAGGAAUCAUAUAUGCUUUAGAAAUAAGUAAACGUUACUUACUUACAUCAGGAGCAAGCUUAAUUUUGUGCUUAAAAAAAAAAAAAAAAAAAAACUACAAGGAAGAUUGAGAGACAUAAAUGAGAACAUGAAGGAAAGUCAGGGGCUUCCAGUCAGACUAGCUGAGCAUCUAUAUGCUCAGCCAUUAUUAGCAUGAAUGGGCUAAUUAUUUAACCUCACUGAGACUCAAACUUUCAUGAAGAUUUUUGUUGGUUGAGUUUGGUUUUUCAGUUUGUCUGCUUUUUUAUCUGUAAAAGAGAAAAUCUAUCUCACUUUGCCUGGCUUUUUGAAGCAUGUCUUGUAGGUGUGGAAUAAACAUCCAUUAUUAAAAUAGGAACGAAGGUGGGUUUAGUUGAAUGGAGAUGCUGAAAUACUAUUUUGCAAUCAAUCUAAGUUACGCAAAAAUAUAUAGGCAUACCUCAGAGAUGUUACAGGUUUGGUUCCAGACCACCACAAUAAAGCAAAUAUCAUAAUAAAUCAAGUCAUACAAUUUUUUGAUUUCUCAGUGCAUAUAAAAGUUAUGUUUACAUUAUACUGUAGUCUGUCAAGUGUGAAAUAGCAUUAUAUCUAGAAAAAUAAUGUACAUACCUUAUUUAAAAUACUUUAUUGCUGAAAAUGCUAACAACCAUCUGGGCCUUUGGAAAAUCAUAAUCUUUUUGCUGGUGGAAGGUCUUGCCUCGGUGUUGAUGUCUGCUGACUGAUCAGGAUGAUGGUUGCUGAAGGUUGGAGUGGUUGUGGCAAUUUCUUAAAAUGAGACAACAGUGAAUUUUGCCACAUCAACUGACUCUUUCUUUCACGAUAGAUUUCUCUGUAGCAUGUGAUGCUGUUUGGUAGUAUUUUACCCACAGUAGAACUUCUUUAAAAAUUGGAGUCAGUCCUCUCACACCCUGCCACUGCUGUAUCAACUAUGUUUAUGCUAUUCUAAAC